GUUCAUGUAGCUUAACGAAUAAAGCAAGGUACUGAAAAUGCCUAGAUGGGUCACGCUACCCCAUAGACA